GGAGAGACAAAGAGAAGAGCAGAAGAACAGAAGAAUGGAGUGGCAAAGAGAAGAGAAGGAGUGACUGAACAUUGACAAGACUUUGGUUGGGGAUGGUCAGAGAGGAGAUUAGCUGCUAGACGGCCACACUGCGGAGAAAGAUCAUUUUCCCACUCCAUCCCCCUUCCAGCUCCCCAUCCAUCUCACCAAGAGCCAGCUCCACCACUCAAUAAAACCUUACAUUCAUCUUUCCACCUCUUCAAGUGAGAUGGCAGACCACCUCAGGAUGGAAAUGUAUUUCUUCAUCCCCCUCUCUACUUCCCUGUGACCUCCUGCAAAUAAGGACUCCUCAUCUGUUUUUAAGAGGGAAAUCUGAGUUUUCAAGGAAAGCCGAAUACAGUUGCCAAGUUGCCAGUCAAAGAAACAAUGUCAACACCUGCUCAUAGAGAUGGAAUUCCUAACCCGGAAUAUUGCCCUUGAAUUACAACGAGAAAAAGCUUGGCAGAGAGCGCCCUGGGAAAUGCGGAUAUAGAAGGUCAGGAGAACAUCUCUCCUGGUUAUACAGCAUUCCAGGUGGGCUUUCAUGUGGUUGAGGAUAAUAUCAUUAGCACCAAAGGUGAAAAUCCGUGGAAGCUCAUCUUAUUUCAGCAGAAGAGUAGGAUGGGCCUUGUGGCACGAGUAAGCCAAACAAGGGAAAGGCAUUCACCAUCAAUU
rnacentral:lncRNA from 1 species